rnacentral:lncRNA from 1 species
UUUAGUUGUAUUUCUUUGUAAUUUUGUGUUGUACAAAGAUUAAUUUAACAUUUUCUCUGGAAGUAUUAAUUUAGAAAGAUAAUAUGCUUCAUUGGUGUUGUGUUGUGUUUUGAAGUGUGAAAUGCAAAGUAAUUGUGAUAAAGUCAAGAUAAAGUUCACUUUUAAACUGAACUAAAUAAGGUAUCUGAGAGACAACAAUGGUUAAAUGCAAUACAAUGUACAGGUUUUACUAGCGAAAUGAAAAUUUUCCUGUCCUGUCUGCUGUAAUCAUUUUAUAUCUGGAAAACCAGCCGACUUAAUAGAUAAUAACAAUCUCCAGAUUGGGUUCCUUCAAUAAAUAUGGGCUAUAAACACAAUGAAAUAAGUUCCCCAAAAUCUAAAAUGGAGUGCUAUCAAAGGAGAA